UCACUCUCAGGGUCAUACCUGGAGAGUUGUCAGUAUUCUACCAGUCUCAAUAAUGGGAGGGAGAAUCAAACACAGGCGUACCCAUUCCGUUCCUAGCUUGGCCAAUGGCUAGCGAGUGGAAGACAAUCUGUUACAAGU